UACGGGGGGGCAAGCGUUGUUCGGAAUUACUGGGCGUAAAGGGCUCGUAGGCGGCCAACUAAGUCAGACGUGAAAUCCCCAGGCUCAACCUGGGAACUGCGUCUGAUACUGGAUGGCUUGAAUCCGGGAGAGGGAUGCAGAAUUCCAGGUGUAGCGGUGAAAUGCGUAGAUAUCUGGAGGAAUACCAGUGGCGAAAGCGACUUCCUGGACCAAUACUGACGCUCAUGUGCGAAAGCGUGGGGAGCGAACAGG
rnacentral:rRNA from 1 species